rnacentral:rRNA from 1 species
UUCGAUGCAACGCGAAGAACCUUACCUGGUCUUGACAUCCCGGAGACCCUUAGGAAACUAGGGGUGCUUCCAUCUGGAAGAAUCUGGAGACAGGUGGCUGCAUGGCUGUCGUCAGCUCGUGUCGUGAGAUGUUGGGUUAAGUCCCGCAACGAGCGCAACCCUUGCCUUUAGUUGCCAGCAGUUCGGCUGGGCACUCUAAAGGGACUGCCGGUGUUAAACCGGAGGAAGGUGGGGAUGACGUCAAGUCCUCAUGGCCUUUAUGACCAGGGCUACACACGUACUACAAUGGCCGAUACAAAGGGCAGCGACACUGCGAGGUGAAGCCAAUCCCGUAAAAUCGGUCUCAGUCCGGAUUGGAGUCUGCAACUCGACUCCAUGAAGUUGGAAUCGCUAGUAAUCGUGGAUCAGCAUGCCACGGUGAAUACGUUCCCGGGCCUU